rnacentral:rRNA from 1 species
AUACGGAAGGUCCGGGCGUUAUCCGGAUUUAUUGGGUUUAAAGAGAGCGCAGGCUGAUUGUUAGGCGUGACGUGAAAUGUAGCCGCUCAACGGCUGAACUGCGUCGCGAACUGGCAGUCUUGAGUGAGUACGACGUCAGCGGAAUUCGUGGUGUAGAGGUGAAAUGCUUAGAUAUCACGAAGAACCCCGAUUGCGAAGGCAGCUGACGAGUCCUUUACUGACGCUAAAGCUCGAAGGUGCGGGUAUCGAACAGGAUUAGAUACCCUGGUAGUCCGCACGGUAAACGAUGGAUGCCCGCUGUUGGCGAUACAAUGUCAGCGGCCAAGCGAAAGCGUUAAGCAUCCCACCUGGGGAGUACGCCGGCAACGGUGAAACUCAAAUGAAUUGGCGGGG